CUUAAAUAAAUACGGAGUAAAAGAAGUUUCUGUCCUUGCGGGUCGUUCCCGUUCCCGCGUCCGCAGCUGUUCUCUCUCUCUCCGUACGUAUAUCGCUUCAAUUCGCGCGCCUGCCUCGUCAUCUUUCUUUCGGCUCCGGCACAUCGUUUUCUGAUACGCAGCCAUAACAAAAACGGAAGGCACAUGCUCGACCUUCGCCGCCGGUAACUCCACCACUGUUCCGCUCCUCGGAUGUAUUUUCUGUCCCGCUCCGUCCUCUAAAGCCUGGAUUACACCCAUCUCAAUGUGAUCCGACCCAAGGGUGUAUUCGGAUUACGAAUCCUAGCCGUCGAAAAUGGGGAGCAGGAUGAUUGCGAGGUGGUAAGGAAGGUUGAAGAGGGAAGUACAGUGAUGUAUUUGAGGAUCUCACAGUACGGAUAAUGAAAAAUGCGAUAUCAAAGUCCUUAAGGCUGUAAAGAAGAAAAAAGAUCAAGUGGGAGAUCAAGAUACCACAAAAUCUUUGUGCUGGACCAUGCUAAUUAUUAUCAGUGAUCAGCAAUCGAAUACCCCACGUUUCAUUUUGAAUAUUUGAAUCACAUAGAUUUUAAAGUGGUUUAUCCUACUCUUUCUCUCGUUGAUGUCAGAUAUUACAUCUGAGAAAUGCUGUUGAGAAGUUUUCUGUAUAUCUAGAUUUUAUGGCCUUUCAUACUACUAAUGCUGUGAAUUUUGUCUUUAUAUUUAUCUGGUUACUACUGAAGCUCGAGAUAUAUCACGACAGUUAGAUCAAUAUGAUACAGGAGGCUUCCUUUGAAUCUCUUCCUCUGGGGUGCUCUCUGAAGGUUGCUAGCUACAGAAUUGCCUUGUGUCAAAAGUUUUUCGAUGAGUGGACGUGGGAGAUGAGGUUCCACUGAUGCAAGGAACAAAGAGAAGGUUAUGAACAUAGAAGAGAUCAUUUGUGAUGGUUUUCGGCCUAAGUAUGUGAGCAUUUACUCGUGGAGUACUGCCUUCUGAUUUAGUUUGAGCAUUCCUUCAUCAUCAGAACACAGGUGUACCACUUAAAUGAAACUUCAAGCUCGACCUUUUGUAUUUACAGCAAUGUCUUUUCUUGCUUUCUUCAGAAUUCAAGACUAAAAGGAUCUGGUUUGUUGCUUACAUGUUUCUGGUUUCGUUGAUGUGGAUUACUCAUCUUUUUUUUCUUUCGGUUAUAAUUAGAUUAUUACAAUUCUCAUGUAUCUCAAAUCUGAUGGGGGGCUUUUACCCUCCUAGUCUCUCACUUCUGCUGAUAUUUAUAGGUCCUGAGCUUCGUGUUGAUUUACAAGACUUUGACUACUCAUUGGACUUGUGGAAUUUGGUUUCAUGUUUACCAAAUUGGUGAGCUACUACCUCUUCGGACCAUUUUCUUUAUUUUUGGUUACUUAUGCUGUGACCCGGAUGCGCAUGAGACCCAAUCUGGCGCAUAUAUUUCGUUUUCCACUUAUAUCGCCUUGUUCCAUGACUUGGCUACUUUAUGAUGCCAUUCAUGGUUGUAUGUCUCAAAUCAUCCAUGGAUGUCCAAUAAUGAUAUACAAAUGUCAGUAUUUAUCCGUGUAUGUUCUUUCACUUUGAUGCUAACUGGAAUGCGUUCUGCUAUAUAGACAUUCCGAAAAGAGCCUUUCUUCUAUGGACACGACAGUUAUAAUCAAUUUGUGAAGAAUGUGAAGGUAUGUAGAAUCUCCAUGAAAAGGCUUAUCAUUAUUUUGCCUAGAAAGGCCAGAGAUAAGAGGAUAGAAUUGUUUUUGCACUAUAAUGGUAUGCAUUCUUGGGGAUUAAGUUGCAUGUUAAGGAAGAACCAACUUAGGGUUAGUAUAUCCGGAUAGUGGAUCUUCAUGAACCAUGUGAAGUUGUGAUUAUGGCACUUUACUAGUUUACUGCUGACCUUUGUAGAAUAUUUAGCUACAGAACCACAUUGCUUUGAGAAAGCAUGGAAUAUGGUCUCAAAGUUGGGGAAGAGAAUUAAGCAAUCUAGAAAUAGAUAGACCCGUGGUUCAGAAUUGAAUCAUCUCUGGUUCAUUGCUCGAGUGCUUUUGUCCCGAAGCUAUUCAAUGAAACUAAUGGUCUCCCCCAUUAAAAUGUAUCCCACAAAGUUGGGACAUAUGUCAUACAUGAAACAUUGGGAAUUAGACCUGCUAUUAAUGUGGGCUUUCAAGUUUUUUUUUCCUUCCCGUUGCGGCUUGCAGAAGGCUAAGAGCAGACGAUUUAAUACCAUCUUCCAUCCUUUUCUUUUGGGUGUUGGUAUGUGUGCGCGCGCGCUGGGGAAUGGGGUUAUACUAGAGCAUUAAGUCUAUCUGGGACUUCAAGAAUCUUUGGACUUGAAUAAGAAUACAAAGCUGAAGGAUUUCUUUGAUCAGUAAGUUCUCAGGCCAUCGUCUUUAAUAGUUUUAUCUGUGUGCUUCAAUGAUGUCAGAUUUGAUUUCAUGUGUGUCCAUCAUUUGCAUUUUUUUGUUUAACUGUGGUCUUAAGCUAUAUAAUUACUAUGGUAAUCACAUCAAAAUCUUCAGAUAUGUAGCUCACUUAGCUACAUAAUAAAUAACCUGAGGUCUUCAGCUAUAUUAGUUGGUAAGAAAAUCAUAACAUAUGUAGCUCAUUUAGCCCCAUGAUAACUAUGGUGAUUUCUCAGAAAAAUGGAAGUUAACCUCAGGUAUUUUAUCAAAUUUGGCUGCUCAAUUAUUUAACUAUCCUAAGCUUACACAGAUGAAACAGGCUUUUGUGGUUGCUGAUUCUAUUGGUCGAUGAAAAAACCAACCAGAUCAGAUUACAGGGCAAUCUUAAUUUUAUGCUUUGCUAAGUCGGAAGUAUAUUAGUUGGUGCAAGAGAAGAUUAAGUGGGCGUUUGGACAUAAGCAUUGUAAAAUUCCAAAAAAAGGUGAAAAAA